rnacentral:rRNA from 1 species
GCGAUUCUGGCUCAGAUUGAACGCUGGCGGGAUGCUUACACAUGCAAGUCGAACGGCAGCACGGACUUCGGUCUGGUGGCGAGUGGCGAACGGGUGAGUAAUGUAUCGGAACGUGCCUAGUAGCGGGGAUAACUACGCGAAAGCGUAGCUAAUACCACAUGCGCCCUUCGGGGAAAGCAGGGGACCUUCGGGCCUCGCACUAUUAAGGAAGCGGCCGAUAUCGGAUUAGCUAGUUGGUGGGAGUAACGGCUCACCAAGGCGACGAUCCGUAGCUGGUUUGAAGGACGACCAGCCACACUGGGGACUGAGACACGGCCCAGACUCCUACGAGGCAGCAGUGGGGAAUUUUGGACAAUGGGGAAACCCUGAUCAGCCAUCCCCGCGUGCGAUGAAGGCCUUCCCGGGUUGUAAAGCACUUUUGGCGAGAAGAAACGGCCUGGGAUAAUACCCCGUGCAACUGACCAGUACCUGCAGAAUAAGCACCGGCUAACUACGUGCCAGCAGCCGCGGUAAUACGUAGGGUGCAAGCGUUAAUCGGAAUUACUGGGCGUAAAGCGUGCGCAGGCGGUUCGGAAAGAAGAUGUGAAAUCCCAGAGCUUAACUUUGGAACUGCAUUUUUAACUACCGAGCUAGAGUGUGUCAGAGGAAAUUAGAAUUACAGUAGCAGUGAAAUGUGAAUCUGCGGAGGAACACCGGAAAAUGGCGAAAGGCGGCCUCCUCAGGAUAACACUGACGCUCAUGCACGAAAAGCGGGAGCAAACAGGAUUAGAUACCCUGGUAGUCCACGCCUAUUGUCAUCAACUGGCUAUUUGGGCGCUUCGGGCCUUGGUGGCGCAGCUAACGCUUGAAGUUGACCGCCUGAUACAGUCGCAAGAUUAGAACUCCAAAGGAAUUGACAGGGACCCGCACAAGCGGUGGAUGAUGUGGAUUAAUUCGAUGCAACGCGGCGUGCCACCACCUUGACAUGUCUGGAAUCGAAGAGGGCCCGGUGCUCACAGAGAACCGGAACACAGGUGCUGCAUGGCUGUCUAGUCAGCUCGUGUCGUGAAGAUGUUGGGUUAAGUCCCGCAACAGGCGCAACCUGUCGUCAGAUUGCUACGAAGGGCACUCUAAUGAGACUGCCAGUGACAAACCGGAGGGAAGGUGAGGAUGGCUCAAGUCCUCAUGGCCCUUAUGGGUAGGGCUUCACACGUCAUACAAUGGUCAGGACAGAGGAGUCGCCAACCCGCGAGGGGGAAUAAUCCCAGAAACCCGAUCGUAGUCCGGAUCGCAGUCUGCAACUCAAACUACGUGAAGUCGGAAUCGCUAGUAAUCGCGGAUCAGCAUGUCGCCGGUAAUGCGAUCCCAGGUCUUGUACACACCGCCCGUCACACCAUGGGAGUGGGUUUACCAGAAGUAGUUAGCCUAACCGGCUAAGGGCGAUUACCACGGUAGGAUUCAUGACUGGGGGUGAAGUCGCUAAGCAAAGGUAGC